GUAUGUACAAGAAGUCUCCCAAAGAAAUAUUCCUAAUUUGCUUCGAAUUGAGUCAAUUGUUUCCUUUUUCCAGUUCCUGUUACCAUAUCUCGUCGAUUCAAAAUCAGCCUGCAGUUGGGAGUCUUUGCCCGCUUAUAUAUCGUCCUCCCCAAUACCCUUUCACAAAUCCACACCUGAAUCUCUAUUUCUUGGUCUUUAACUAAUCUCUUUUUCUUGUGGUGUUCCGAUUCCCCACCGAUUUUCUCCGCUUCGAUUCGGUAAUCUGACUGACAUGGGCGACAGCCAGAAUUAUAGGGGGAAAGAUCCGUUCCUACGGGAUUACAGCGCCGAAGAACUUCGAAUUGCUUCCGAGUUCUUGUCCAAUUGGCUGCCGCAUCUCUCCCGUGGACUCUGCAAGAGCUGCACUGAAACUCUUUCCGAUCGAAUCCGAUCUCUCAAUCCAGGUACAAAAACCAUCCCUUUAUAACUGCUGUAUAUACCUAUGUAAGUGUAAUUAUGUCCGAUGUAUCUAUUUCUGUUCUUAUGGACUAUAAUAAUAUGGAGAAUUUUCAAUUUAGCAUUAGAUUUUUUAUUCCCCUUUUCGAAAUCUUGACUCCUUAGUGAAAUCUCUUCUUUGCAUUUGUGUCUGAGUUUAAUUGGAGUAUUUGAUCCCCUAGAAUGUUUCUUUUCCUUAAAAUUUUUGUGGGUUUUCUAUUUCAGUCUGAACGGAGGCUAUUCUAAAUGUUUAAUUAAAUUUUGUUUACAGUGGUUACGAAAAAUAGGGGAUCUUUUCAAAACUAUGAAUUUACGUUAACUGAAUUUGGAAAAUAGAAUGGUUUUAUAUACGUUAUAUUAUGCCGCCUUUAAGGAUUUAGUUUUUCUUAUUUUUUUGAAAUUCUUGCGUGUUAUUCAUUUGGGUUUUCCUUUGGCUUUUGUAGAAAUCGAUGGUGAAUUAAGAUCUGGUAAAAAGGAAAAGAAAUUUUCUGUUUCGGCUAUCAUGGAUCUGAGUAGAAGUAAAGAAGAUUGUGAUCGUUCAGUUGGGAGUUGGAAAGAUACUAUGGAUCAUUAUGAUAACACAGAUACACAUUCAUUGGGCAGCUGGAAAGAUGAGGCUGAUGGGUCGGAGCCAGCUGCCGAUGCAUCAUCAAAUAGUGAAACAUCUACCUUAUUGACACCUUUUGCAAGCUCGAAGGUGAAAAUGUCUUGGGCUGACAUGGCUCAAGAGGAUGAGCUUGACAUGGACGAAGACAAUGGGAGUAGUACGUCUGUCAGUGUGCAAGAGGGAACAACAUUGGAGGAUGCUAAGCCAAAGCCAGGGCUGUCAAGGGAGCAAAGAGAAUACAUUCGUUUCUGUAAUGUGAGGAGAGAGAAAAAUUUUAUAUCUUUCGAAAGAGUUAAUGGGAAAUUCGUGAACAUUCUAGACGGCCUGGAGUUACAUACAGGCGUCUUCAGUGCUGCUGAACAAAACCGGAUUGUUAAGUAUGUUGAGAAGCUUCGAGAGAUGGGGAGCAAUGGGAAGCUGAAAGGUGAGUUACUGAUAAACUACACGUUUUUUCAUCUUCAUUAAUUUUGGAUAUAUCUUUCCCUCUAGUUAUCACAAUAUGAAUAAUGACUUCUGGACUAUUUUGCCUUCUGGAUACUGUCAAACUGUUUGCUAUCAUUCUCUGCUUUAUUAAUUUCUGGUCAAUCUCACUCUCACAUGCAAUCAACCUUUGGGUUUUAGGGAGGCUUUUUAGUUCACAGACAUGCACAGUUAGGAAGUUGUUUGAUUUUUUUGAUCAGAAUGAGCUGUUAAACUAAAUUACUUUAUAGAGCAGGAUCAAUAUUUAACAUCUUUUUAUGAGAAAGGAGCUUAAAUCGCAUUCUAGUGGUUUCAGGAUACAUUUGAAUCACUGUGCCUAGUUUGCAAAUAUGCAACUUUCCUUCUUGUGGUUCUUAAUACUCGUGCAAUCACCAUGGGUUCUAUGGUGUCAAUGUACUUUGCACUCUUGUAUUCCACAUGGUUACAUGCUGCUCUUUACUACAUUAAGAAUAUAAUGGUUAUUUAUGGCAAUUUGUGUAUGAUUUGGAUGGCCCUGAUCUUCAUAUUUAAUUUCAUUGCUUUAUUAUAUAUAUAUAUCUCUGUGUGCGCGCGCGCUUACCUGUCUAUGGUUUAAUUUCAGAGCGCACCUACUCUGCGCCACAGAAGUGGAUGAGGGGGAAGGGACGCAUCACUCUUCAGUUUGGUUGCUGUUACAAUUAUGCUAUUGUAAGUUUCUCUUUUCAUCGUAGUUUGGACAUAGAACUUUCACUUGUUCAAUGUUCACCACAUCAUUAUUAGUAGAAAUGUGAAGAUAUCAAUAGCCUUAAGUUCAAUUUUUUUUAAUGGCAGGAUAAAAAAGGCAAUCCACCAGGCAUUCUCAAGAACGAAAUUGUUGAUCCUUUACCUCAUCUAUUUAAAGUUAUGAUCAAAAGGCUCGUUACGUGGCAUGUUCUCCCUCCAUCAUGUAUUCCCAAUAGCUGUAUCGUCAACAUUUAUGAAGAGGGAGACUGUAUACCACCUCACAUUGAUAAUCAUGAUUUCGUUCGACCCUUUUGUACCGUCUCUUUCCUUAGCGAGUGUGAAAUACUUUUUGGAUCAAACUUGAAAAUAGUGGGUCCUGGUGAAUUCGCUGGUUCUUUUGCAAUUCCUCUGCCAGUUGGGUGAGUAUUUAGGACUUAUUCUUAUUAGAUAAACAUGAAAAUUCAUGUUUUUUGUUUCUACCCGAGAAAUCAUCUUCUUAUGAAUUAUUAACUUGUUGCCAAAUCUUUUGCCAGAUCUGUUCUUGUCUUAAAGGGAAAUGGAGCUGACGUGGCUAAGCACUGUGUGCCUGCUGUUCCUAUGAGAAGGUACAAAUCCAACUAAGUUAUGUUCUUCAUACUUUCCUCAGUUGCGUUUCUGCAUAAUAUGCUGAUUCUUGAAUAUUUUAUGGCCAGGAUAUCAAUUACCUUUAGGAAAAUGGACGAAUUUAAACAGCCGAUUGGAUAUGUCCCUGAAUCUGAGCUGCAAGGGCUUCAGCCAUUGCCUUACGAAGUGGACACUUCAAAGAAUUACAAUCCUUCUAAACAGAUGUAUUUUUCAAAAAACCAAGCAUCUGGAAGAGAUGAGAAAACAGAGAGAGGAAGGGGAUCAACCGGAAGGUACUCGAAUGCCCAUUAUUCAGGUCGAAGCAGACAAGUUCCUGUAAACAGGCCAAUGGGACGGGUUAAUUUGGAAAAGUGAAUUUAGUAUGAUAAUAAUAAGCUCGGGAAAAUUGUAGACAUACAUAUUCUUCUUUGAUUUAAGGCCUUUCAGUCUUUUAGGACUAGGAGUAGGAUGUUGGGUCAGUACAUUAUACCUGUGUGCCAUUUUAGGGAUAUUCGUCGCAUUCUGAGAGUUAUAAUUCUACGCAAAAACAAUGAGUAGCUGGCUUUAUGCUUUUUACUUCUUUUACAAAUCGGCGUGUAUAUUGUAUUUGAGUUUCGAACUGAAUUUGUUUUGGUUUGUGAGUGAGUUGAACUAAAAUUUUAUUUCUAUGAAAUAAUGCUCUAUUUUCUUGGUUAUCCAGUUUAUUCCAGGAUUCUGCUACAUUUAUUUGCUGCUCUUCAUCAUGCAGUAUAUUGAAAUGUCGAAGAUUUACUUCGAUUCUUGGUUUGCUUCAAUUCUUGGUUUAUGGAGAAUAAUAUACCGCUUUUGAUUGAUUGAUUUAUUUUUUAUUGGAAUUUUUGAAAUAUAAUCGCUUAAUGCAAUCAAUAAUGCAUAGUGUAAGUUUUUCCGUCUGGAUUUCCCUAAACAUGGUGUAAGUUUUUUCCAUUUGGAUUUCUCCCACUUCCACGACGCAAUGAGACUGAGUGGGAUGACUAUAUUUUUAGGAGCCAACUACAGGAAAAUAUGAAGCAUACGAAUAAUGCAAGUAAUGCCUUGAAAUGAAAUGAAAGUUUAGAAUUCAUGAGAGAAUGGUGUUACACCUUGCGAUCACAUUGUUCAACUCAUCAGUAAAUAUUCUAUUUCCUUCUUCUAUUAAAUAUCUUUAUGGAUAGCAAUUCUAUCACAUUUUUAACUGUAGAUUAUUUCUUAGAUUUUUGGAUAAAGAAGAAGGUGCAAAACGAAU
rnacentral:lncRNA from 1 species